rnacentral:rRNA from 1 species
AUACAGAGGGUGCAAGCGUUAAUCGGAAUUACUGGGCGUAAAGCGCACGUAGGUGGUUAGAUAAGUUGGAUGUGAAAGCCCCGGGCUUAACCUGGGAAUUGCAUUCAAAACUGUUUGGCUAGAGUAUGGUAGAGGGAAGUGGAAUUCCACAUGUAGCGGUGAAAUGCGUAGAUAUGUGGAGGAACAUCAGUGGCGAAGGCGACUUCCUGGACCAAUACUGACACUGAGGUGCGAAAGCGUGGGGAGCAAACAGGAUUAGAAACCCCGGUAGUCC